UCAACAACGAAUCUCUUGGUUCCGGCAUCGAUGAAGAACGCAGCGAAAUGCGAUAAGUAAUGUGAAUUGCAGAAUUCCGUGAAUCAUCGAAUCUUUGAACGCACAUUGCGCCCCCUGGCAUUCCGGGGGGCAUGCCUGUCCGAGCGUCAU
rnacentral:rRNA from 1 species